GAUGAAGAACGUAGCGAAAUGCGAUACUUGGUGUGAAUUGCAGAAUCCCGUGAACCAUCGAGUCUUUGAACGCAAGUUGCGCCCGAAGCCAUUAGGCCGAGGGCACGCCUGCCUGGGCGUCACACGUCGUUGCCCCCCCAUCUACUCCUUCGGGAUUGCGGGGGGCGGAUGAUGGCCUCCCGUGCGCCUCGUCGCGCGGUUGGCAUAAAUGCCAAGUCCUCGGCGACGCACGCCACGACAAUCGGUGGUUGCGAAACCUCGGUUGCCCGUCGUGUGCGGUCGUCGCGCAUCGAGGGCUCGAAAAAAUUGCCGGGCUCCGGCUCGGCUUUCAACGCGACCCUAGGUCAGGCGGGGUUACCCGCUGAAUUUAAGCAUAUCAAUAAGCGGAGGA
rnacentral:misc_RNA from 1 species